UAUCGUCAUAGCGUCUGAAGCCUAACUUCGUGUCAAGAUAAAAGUGCUAUCUCAGAUUGUAACAACGUUUUAGCUAAGUAUUAGUCUUUGUGUUCAGUUGGGGAGAAACCGUUUGUUGGUUUAUCAUGGACGACGUCAUACAAGAAGAUGUAGAAUGGACAAACGACCGACGAGAUUCAAAAUCAUGUUACGAGCAUGGGAGCCAUCACUACCAUCCUCUGAGGCAGACGAGCACCGCGUUGGAACGAAAACUGCGACACAACAGAGAGCACCCACCGCACUCCCUUCCUCGCCUGAGCGUCGUGAUGCCAGCCAGCUCCCACUCCAGCAUGGAGCGCAUUCCCAAACCCGCGCGGAGGAAACCGCUCUCACACGGCGAUGAAUCGAUGACCGUGGUCCUGUCAGCAUUUUAUGCUAAAUUAUUAAUAGUAUUAGGAAUAGCGUUGCCUGUAACGAGCACCAUACAAAACGAAGUUUAUACUAAUGUUACAUCUGAUCUAUUCACAAUGUAUUUAUACAUAGUCAGUAUGCUCUUCUUGGGAUACACUUUUUAUCAUCUUCGUAUAGCAAAAAGGGAGAAAGAUGAAAACGUAAAGCGCACCCGCUACGGCAGUUUCUACCUUCACAUGGGGGUGGCAGGGUUCGGAGUAGGUUCCAUCAUCUACUCUUGUCUCCAGUUCGCUGGCUACUUUGACCUGUCAGGCGACUGUCAGCUCGCUAUCGUGGCCAUAAAGCCAGCUCUGAGGAUACUGUACUUGGUUGCACAAACUGUCUUCAUAUUUUCUUAUACUGAUAUAUUGGAUCCCAUGCGAGGGGUGGUGCUCGAUAGAUUCGGGCUCAUGCAUCUUAUAGCAACAAACAUAUGUGAGCUUAACGUCGUCGUUCAGGAGACAAGAGAUGAUAUCAUCGCAAUGGCCUACGAUCGUCCAGCAUUUAUCAGAUAUGCCAACGUCACUGGUCCACCGAAAAUAAUUAUAACGAAUCAUGUGGACAAUGCAACUUAUUUAUCGGAACAAAAGCCAUCCACUAGCACUGAAGACAGUUUUCAAAUUUUACAUUAAGCGUUUUCAACUUUACAACGAAGAAUAUCAACUGGACCUGCAAUGUGUCAGACAUGAUCACUCCUCUCAUUAGGAGCGUGAACCCUUAUUUAAGGCCUUGUGGUGUGGAAUACAGUCUUUUGUGCUCCAUCAUUAUUUUCGUUAUCUGGAACGAUAUCUGUACAGUUCCAGGAUCGAAACCGAUGAAGGAAGUUGCGUCUAUGGUGACUGCUAAAGACCGGCAGUGCUGUGCCCGAGCCAAGUCAAAUAACCAUUUCUCUGUAGAUUGUGGAAGUGCACAUAAGGGCCUGUUUAUGGGCGUCGCAGUCCUGGCUGGAACUAUUGUCAGCCUGAUGCUCUUCAAUGGAUUGUUUCAAAAACAAGAACACAUGAGCUUAGCUUUAUUUCAGAUAAACGUUUGGGAAUCAAUCUUGUUCCUCAUAAUGACAUUAGGAUCGGGGCCUGCAUUCAAAGAAUGAGGACACUGCCACUCAAGCGUGCAGUGUCAACAUUGCCUUUAGAACACUCAUUGCUGCUGGUUACUCAAUGUGGAGUAUACCUAUACUACUUAUUUCAAAUAAUUGGAGCUGGCUUCUAAUACACCAAUACCCUGGAGAAUCACAAGCAACCAGGAUCAUAACGCCCUUAUGUGCUGUUAUUCAAAGUUCAUGCCAAACACUGCUAGUGCUGGACUCUUGGUACAGACGUUGCGCAGGCACGGGCCGACAACGACCGGGUCGGCAACUAGUUACAUUCCUUCUAGUGGGGAACUUCGCUCUGUGGCUUAUCAACAGAGUUAAAAUUCAAGAGCAGAAUUUCAUCCCUCAGAUGGAAUUCUAUGGAGUUUGGGCAUGGACUCUGAUAACACACGUGUCAGUGCCGAUCCUUGUGUGCUACCGAUUUCAAGCAACCGUGUGUUUCUAUGAAAUCUGGAAAAACUCUUACAAACGAACGAGAGAAGCCAACAAUAUUGAUCCAGAUGAGUUAGAAUUAAAAAACCAUCACAGUGCUUAAUGUUAGAAUAAAUAAUACUUUACAAAGAAAAGAUGACUGAAAUAUAUAAAACGAAGUUUUUGUAUUGAA